GACGAACGCUGGCGGCGUGCUUAACACAUGCAAGUCGAACGAAGUGGCGAACGGGUGAGUAAUACGUGGGUAACCUGCCCUCCUUUUUGGGAUAAGCCUUGGAAACGGGGUCUAAUACCGAAUAAAGGGGGAUGGGCUCGCGGUCUAUCAGCUUGUUGGUGGGGUGAUGGCCUACCAAGGCGGUGACGGGUAGCCGGCCUGAGAGGGGGACCUGGCACUGAGAGACGGAGAGACGGCCCAGGGUCCUACGGGAGGCGGCAUGGGGGGAUAUGGCACAAUGGGCGAAGGCAUGAUGCCGCGACUCCGCGUGGGGGAUGAGGGCUUUCGGGUUGUAAACGUCUUGCGCUAUCGGUCGGUUAGGUGGAGAAGAAGCGCCGGCUAACUACGUGCCAGCAGCCGCGGUAAUAC
rnacentral:rRNA from 1 species